AGUGAACGCUGGCGGUAGGCCUAACACAUGCAAGUCGAACGGCAGCACAGUGAGAGCUUGCUCUUACGGGGGGCGGGUGGCGGGAGGGAGAGGAAUGCAUCGGAAUCUUGUUUUUGGGGGGGGAUAACGUAGGGGAAGUUACGAUCAUAUCGCAUACGACGUAGGGGGGAGAGCAGGGGAUAUUCUGAGCUGGCGCGGUUGAAUGAGCGGAUGACGAGUUAGCUGGUUGGCGGGGUGAAGACCCAGGAAGGCGAGUAUCCGUAGCUGGUCUGAGUGGCUGAUCACCGACAUGGGAACUGAGACACCGUCCAGACUCCUACGGGAGGCAGCAGUGGGCAAUAGUGGACAACAGGCGCAAGCCUGAUCCAGUCAUACCGCGUGUGUGAAGACGGCCCUCCGGUUGUAAAGCCCUUUUGUUGGGAAAGAAAAGCAGCAGGUUAAUACCCCGCUGUUCUGACGGUACCCAAAGAAUAAGCACCGGCUAACUUCGUG
rnacentral:rRNA from 1 species